UGGUGCUCAUGAUAGCACAAUCAAAAGGGCUGGUCGCUGGAAGUCGAGCAGCUUUGAACUUUACACCCAAGACGCAA